GACCUGGCCGGGUGGUCUUGCCGAAAGGUAAGCACUGCUUUUGGUCGGGUCUUUCCUUCUGGGGAACCAGCGUGCGCUUGAUUGAGUGCGUUGGGGAUCCAGGACUUUUACUUUGAAAAAAUUAGAGUGUUUAAAGCAGGCCUACGCUUGAAUACAUUAGCAUGGAAUAAUAGAAUAGGA
rnacentral:rRNA from 1 species